UGAGCACAGAGCUGGGGGGACAGCACCCAGUCUGCAGAGGCGCAGUCGGGCCCGGAGCCCCGACCAGGCAGCAGACUUGUGGUCCCAUGCUGCCUACCCCAGCUCGGGGUCCAGACACUGGGGGCUCUGCCACAUGGGCGAGCUCUCGGCUUAGCCACAACAGGGGUUUCGGCGUCCAGGCCAGAGCGGACUGAUGUCAGCCAUCCCCACUGUUAGCCCAGUUGCUGGCAGAGGUGGCACCCAGGACUGUGCUGCCACCACCCAGUCUGAGGCAGUGGGGCUACUCAGCUGUGAGUGGCUGGGGACACGCCCUUGCCCCUCAUGAGGGGAGGGCAGCUGGGGGCGAGGCCACCGUCCUGGUGGGCGGGUGUGUCUGCUCCCCAAGCGCACACACCGCUGCUUUCAUCCAGGCUCGGCUGCUCCGUGGGGCCAGCUUAGUCGCCCCAUCCUGCUAGUGAGGACGGGGAACCAGCGACAGACUGGCCUGACUCUGGCUUCUUAGCUUGUGUUUCUGUCAACAAUGUAGUGAGCGCUGAUUGUGUGAGUGCACUGAGCGUGAGCGGCAGUCCUGACAGCGUGAACGCGCGGCCCGCACGCCCCUGGGGUCUGAGGCCGUCUCCCAGGCAGUGAGGGGCCAAGGGCCAGGCAGAGCGCCCGCCACGGCUGCUUCACACCCUGAAGCCUUCCCGUCCCUCCCUUUCCCUUCCGUUCCUGUCUCGAAGGCCCCGGGGACUCGGUGGUGGAGUUCCCCACGGUCCGGGUUUGGCUGGUGGCGGCGUGCGCUGUGCGCGGCCCCUCUGUCUCCUGCACUGCUGGUGUGAGAUCGAUGGAGGAAGGGGGAGCCCAGGAACUGCACCGUGGGGAGCAGGCGGGGGGCGGAGCUGGCGGGGCUGCAGGAGGGGAGGCGCCUCUCCGCCCCUGGCCUGCAGGCAGCCGCGUCCACAGAGCUGAUGCUUCGCAUUUCUGCUGUUAAACAGCACCCGAGACCUGCCCCUUCCCGACCUCUCGCCGCCCCGCCCCCUCCCGCGGUGCCUCCACUGCCCCCCAGAGGGUGCGUGUUCUCCCUCGUCGGGUUACAUCAGUGUCUACGUAUUCAGAGCUGAGCCAUGUGGUAAAUUGUCACAUUUCUCUAUUCUGCUCAACUUUUUGUUUCCCUGAGUUAGUGAUUGCUUUAUUAAAAAAAAUUUGCUUCGU